rnacentral:lncRNA from 1 species
UUUUUUACAUUUAAACUGUGUUCCACCAGAGACUUAUUUUGAGCUAAGACUGAAGGUAAAGAUCCAAUUUCAUUUCUUUGUAGCAAGUUAGCAUUCGAAUGCUCAAUCUUGUCCUUUAUGAUAUCCAAUGCCAACUUUAUCAUAUGUGAAAUUUCCACAUAUGUAUAUUUAUCCCACAGUAUUUUUUUGACUGUCUCAGCCUUUUCCAUGUGUCUAUAUAAGUACCAUAGUCUUUAUAGUUCAAUAUUUUUAUUAAAAAAGAUAAACUAGUCCACUUGAUACUCUUCCUUGACAUUUUUCAUUAUGUAUUCUUAUUUUUAUAAGCUCUUUAGUUGAGUCACUUGGAUUUUCCCGUUAUACAGUCAUACUAAUCUGAAAGUAUGGUUAGCAUUCCUCCUUUCCAUUUUUUUUAAACUUCUGUUUUCCUUGUAAGAUCACUUUGGCCAGUCUCUCUGUAACAAUAUUAAGUGAUAGUGGGGAUAGACGUAUUCAUUGUCUUAACUUUAUGGAAAUGUUUUUGAUGUUUCCUUAUUAAGCAAGAUGUUGGCCUCUCAAAUGAGAUACAUACAUACAUAUAUUUUAAAAGUAUCACUAUAAAUUGGUACAACCACUAUGGAAAACAGUAUGAAGGUACCUUAGAAAACUAUACAUAGACCAGCAAUCCCACUCUUGGGCAUCUAUCUGGACAAAACUUUCCUUGAAAAAGACAUAUGCACCCACAUGUUCAUUGCAGCCCUAUUCACAAUAGCCAAGACACGGAAACAACCUAAAUGUCCACUGACGGAUGAUUGGAUUAAGAAGAUGUGGUAUAGGAGUUCCCAUCAUGGCGCAGUGGUUAACGAAUACGACUAGGAACCAUGAGGUUGCGGGUUCGGUCCCUGCCCUUGUUCAGUGGGUUAACAAUCUGGCGUUGCCGUGAGCUGUGGUAUAGGUUGCAGACGCGGCUCGGAUCUCGCGUUGCUGUGGCUCUGGCGUAGGCCGGUGGCUACAGCUCCGAUUCAACCUCUAGCCUGGGAACCUCCAUACGCCGAGGGAGCGGCCCAAGAAAUAGCAACAACAACAAAAGACAAAAGACAAAAAAAAAAAAAAAAAGAAGAUGUGGUAUAGAUACACAAUGGAAUACUACUCAGCCAUAAAAAAGAGCAAAAUCAUGCCAUUUGCAGCAACAUGGAUGGAACUAGAGACUCUCAUACUAAGUGAAGUAAGUCAGAAAGAGAAAAACAAAUACCAUAUGAUAUCACUUAUAUCUGGAAUCUAAUAUAUGGCACAAAUGAACCUUUCCACAGAAACAAAAAUCAUGGACAUGGAGAAUAGACUUGUGGUUGCUGAGGGGGAGGGAGCGGGAUGGACUGGGAAUUCAGGGUUAAUCGAUGCAAACUAUUGCCUUUGCAAGGGAUAAGCAAUGAGAUCCUGCUGUAUAGCACUGGGAACCAUGUCUAGUCACUUAUGAUGGAGCAUGAUAAUGUGAGAAAAAAGAAUGUAUACAUGUAUGUGUAACUGGGUCACCUUGCUGUGCAGUAGAAAAUUGACAGAACACUGUAAACCAGCUAUAAUGGAAAAAUUAAAAAUCAUUAUGAAAAAGAAUUAUAUGUUAGAACUCAUAAAGUGCUUAGAAAAGUGCCCAGAAUGGAGUAAGCAUUCACAUUACAGAUGCUCGUGAGGACUGCCAAUCCAGGGAUAUUGCCAAACCAGAACUUCUUCAUAUCAAAUUUUAACCUGCAAGUUUCCACACCAUAUAAAUGGUUUACAUUUUUAGCCCUAAACCCACGUUAGCCAGGUUUGGGUUAGAAAUUAUCACAAGGGCAGAGACCUCCAUUGCCCAGUGUCUAGAAUGGUGCCUGGCACAGAAGAGGCACUCACACAUUUGUUGAAUGAAGAAUGAAUGCACAAAUGGAGGUUCUCCCACCCCCUCCAUGGCUCCUUUUGUUUUUUCUUGAUCCAUCCAGAGCCAUAGCUGAGAAGAACAGGUCUCCUACUUCAGGGUGAGUUUCUUUCUAGUGUAAUAUUGAUGGUAUCACCUUUAGGGGCCUGAGCUAUAAAAACCACUUAGCCUCUUAUCCUGCUUGAGCCUCAGCUUUGUCUUCUCCCUCCUCAACUCUGAGUGAGUCAUGUGUCUAUCAGAAUCCAAGUUACGAUUCACUAAGGACUAGUAAGUUGCUCUCAGGAGAAUCCUCACAAGUUUUUUUUCUUCUCAAAGACAAUGUUUUUUCAGUUGUUUCUGGCCUACAGUUCCUUCUCUUCCUUUAUCUCCAGGCUAGGCUUUAAGAAGAUAGAUUUUAUAUUUUAACCAGAAUUUUUAGGUGUGAAGUAUUCACCUUCUAUGACAUUGCUAGAAAUAGAAUAAUCUAUAACCAUUUAUUUAAAAAUGAUAUAACAUAAAAACUAAUGUGGAAAAAUGGGUUAUAAGAUAGUGUCUCUGGGUUCAGGACAUCAUCCCUUUACCGCACAGAAGUUAUAGAUUUAUUCUGUGUUCCAAAUCAGAAUACUUUUUAUUAUUAUCUCAUAGAUGAAUAACACUAGCUAUAACCUCAUGAGUACUAUUAUGCAUCAGGCAUUUUACAUAUGUUAUCUCUAAUCACUAUACUAACUUCACACCACGCUUUAUUUGCCUUAUUUUUAAAGUAAAGAAACUAAAAGAGCAUUUAUGAAACUUUACCAGUAAUUCACGGUAGUAAAAAGCUGUGUAGACAUGUAUUAUUUCACCUGCCUACCCACACACUUCUAAGAAAUGUUAUUUCACUCAGUUGAGGUGUAGUAGCUAUGGUUUAUAUCACAUGACUCUACCCCCAUGUCCCAGGCAAGUGUAUAAAAAGUACUAACUCGACUUAAGGACCCACAAUCCAUAGGUUGGUCAGUACCCUCUUAGCAAACUAAGAAUGGGUUUGGCUCAAUCAGAUUCUCCUUCUUCUACAUGAAUUUGGCCAGUGGUAGGUGAUUCCUAACACUUGAAUAUUCCCUUUGAAAGCAAGUGCUGGGAAAAAACAAAAAGUCAAAAAGUUCUAAGUUAUCAGAGAAUUGAGAACAAGCGACAGAGGGCUAUGUUUUUCACCCAUCUGGUCCAUUUAUCUUUGUAAAUACAGUGUUACUUAUUUAAAUAAGAAUUACAGCCUAGAAGUUCCCAUCGCAGUGCAGCAGAAAUGACUCUGACUAGGAACCAUGAGGUUGCAGGUUCGAUUCCCGGCCUUGCUCAGUGGGUUAAGGAUCCGGCAUUGCUGUGAGCUGUGGUUCAGAUUCGUUUCCUCUGCGUCACAAUGCGAACUCCCCAAAUCUCAAAUAUUUAGGAGACCAGAGGAAAACGAGGAAAAGAGCCACUACUUGUUUAAAAUUUUCCUGCUUGGAAUUGUUUAACUUUAAAGCAUGAGGUGGUCAUAGUCUGAACUAAAAUGUCCAAGUAUAUCUUACUCUUCUUUUUCUUGCAGCCAUCAGCACAGAUUUUGCACACGGUAGGGCACAACAAAUCAAAUAAUGAAAAAACUGACAAGACAGUGACAGAGAUAGAGAUGUUUCUGGAAUUACAUUCAGAGUCUAUAGCUCUUUCUUCUUUUCAGGGAGAGUACUUUCUUUUAAAUGUUCUCAUUGGGAACUGUCACCAAUUACAAGAGACUAUGGAGAUAUGGAAAUGAAAGCAGUACAGGAUCCUGGACAAUAUCCUGAAGCAGGAAAAGUGUAUUAGUGAGUUAAACUGGAGAAAUUUCAAUAAUGUCUGUAGAUUAAGCAAAUAGUAUUUUAUCAAUGGCAAUUUCCUGAUUUUGAUAACUGCACUAUACUGAAGUUAGACCUUAAUAUGAGGGGAAGUUGGGUGAAGGACAGUGGGAACUCUCUGUACUAUUUUUGUAACUUCGUGAGUCCAAGAUAUUUCAAACUAAAAAGGUUUAAAAAUGAAUUAAUGCCCUGGUUGAUGGCAACUCUCUCUCUUUUUUUAAAGUAUAGAAUUGAUUUUGAAAACAAGAAAGAAAAGAAAAAUUAGUGCAGAACAAAGGCUGGUGAAAAGGUCAGUAAUCUAUCUGGGUAAUAAAUUUCUUUGUAGGGGAGGGGCUGAUUAAAAAAACAUGCUGUGACUUUAAGUAAACAUGAGACUGUUUUCUUUUAUAGUUCAUAAAUGGUUUCUAAAGGCAAGUCAAAAGGACGAGUUCUAAAAAUAUUUUUUGCAGUGACAGCAUUGUUGAAUUAGUGUAAAGAGCGGCUGCACUAAAGAAUAGCAUCCAUUGAAACAGUGCACCUUACGGUACGUUUAUUCUAAAAAGACACUCUUCAGUACCUUUGGUCACAACUCUGGGUGUUAAAGCAGUGUCUGUGUGCUUAGUAGGUGUAAGAAAAGUUAAUUGAAUGCAAUAACUUGUCAUGUCUCCUGCUUUCUAACGCAGGCGUCUAAGUGAUUUUCUAAUCUCUUCUAUUACGGAAGUUCUUGGUUUACUUUUUUGAGGUUAUUAGAAAAUGUCUUACUCUUAAGUAGAAAUUUAGUAGAAACUGGCUAUUCUUUGGGGAGGAGAAGGAAAGUGCAAAGAGAAACAGGGUGAGAGAGACAGUUGCAUGCAUGCAGUGUGUGGCCAGCAAGAGCAGCUCUCCUGGUCAUCAGUGUUGAUCCCUCUGUUGGUCUCACAGUGUAUUACUCUAUCUAGGUCAACACUGGGCAUCCCCCGGACACAUUCACCAUCUGUUGACCAUAACAUAUGCAACAUUUUACAGAGAAUUUAUAACCAGGCACCUUAUCCAUGAAUUAAUAAGCUCAGAUUUUCAGUCAUUAAAAUUUGUGCUGGAAGGCCUUUGAGCUAUAUAACCAAAAAAUAGAAUAAAAUAAUAUAUAAAAUUAUAUAAAAUAUAAACCAUUACCCCAAGAGGCACCAUGCCCAAUUCUGUAACAAAACAGAAGCACUUUCUUUCUUUCUUUCCCUGAUGGAAUAACGUGAUACAGGAUAUAGGCCCAACCUUUAGAAUCAAUGUCCUAAUUUCUCUUCCUUUUUACCACUUAAUUCGCCUAUAUUUUGCCCGUCUUGCUUAUAAAACAGAUGUAAUAACAUUGUUACCUUCCAGGGGACUUAUGUAAAUUAAUGAAUAUGGCUGUAAAACAUUUUGCAAACAUGAAGUGUUACAUAAAUACUUUCCAAUUCCUUGAAUGUGCUCAUUAUAUUGCCUGCUUUGAACCUUAAUAUUUGCUUAUAACUCUAUACUCCAGAUUUCCCCAAGGAAGAAAUUCCAACUUUACUUGCCUGUGGCUUUAUAAACAUCUCUUUUUAUAAGCAAAGUCCAAUUCAAUAGGAUGCAGAACCAAGAACAAACACAAGUAACCAAAAACCAAGCAGUAUUCACAGAUGCUCUAAGCCUGUGAAUAUACAAAGUACACCUUGGUAACAGUUAAGCACAUUCAUUCAACAUUUCCAGUUGGGGAUUGUAAGAGCAAUGUAAUGAUUUAGGGAGUUAGUAAAAAUUAAAAGUUUACAAUAUAAACUCAUGACUCUCAAAUUCUCUGCUUCAACAAAGGACCAUAUUCUCUCACUAUUCAAAGGGCAGAAUCCUAUGAAAGCAAAAAGAAAAUUUUAUAUCUGAACAAGAUUUGAAUCUUUGAGCCUCUGUUGCUCUAGUUGUAAACAUUUUCUCAAUGAAUCCCUUCAAAACACUGCUACACAUGCUCUACUUAGCCAGUCUGAAACUAUUAUUCACUUGAAAAUAUGGUAUCAUACUAAAAAUUACUAGAUGAUUAAAUGAGAUAGUACAUGACAUAUUCUGCACAGUAUCCAUUUCAGAGUACUCAAUAAAUAGUACUGACAAAACCGAUAUGUAGUUAUAUUAAUUAUUCUGACAAAUUAUUGACGGACAUGUAUUGAUGUCCAAUAAAUAUGAUUUUGUGGAUAACAAGGGAAAUACCAAUACUCCUACUUAUACAUUAAAUCCAUGACAAUGAAAUGCAAGUUAAUAUUUAGUACAUAUUUUGAUAAGAAACUCAUCACCAUGAGAGUAACAACAUUAAGAAAACUCUGUGGCGUAACAAUUUUAACAUGUUGAUAUAUUAUGAAAUAUGACACAAAAACCAGCACAUAUAACUGUACAAAUUUCAUGACAAAAGGCUAUGCAUAUCCUUCAAAAGCUUUAAUUGAAAGAGUGACUAUCACACUAAGCUAGAAGACAAGAAAAGUACUGUUAUUCUACUCUAUGACCCUAAAGAUUCCACAGCUGAAGGAUUAUUAUGUCCAGUCAGCAUGCAGUCUGUACAAAUGCAUCAGCAUAAAACAAAUGGUCUUCCAAAAUUGUAACUUGGAAUGAUGUCUAUUAUAUAACAGAGAAACAGUCCAACUCCACUGUAAUAAAUUCAGAUAUAAAACAAAAACUAUGAUUUGGCAAAAAGCAUGUCAUUCAAUGAAGGGUUUGCCAUGACUGAGGGUUGAAUGGCUUUUACUAACAGUGAUCACAAACAUUUAGGAUAAAAUAGAAAAAAAAAAAAUGCAUGGGAGCUACAACUCCUAGGGUCUAAGUGAGUCCACAGUGAAGAAAAACUCUUAUACAUACUGAAUGUGGGAAAACUCUCACCAAAAGAUUGAGGCUUCUUUCACACCAGAAAAUUCCUACUGGAGAGAAGCUAUGUACUGAAUGUUGGGAAAUCUACAGAAAGAAGUCAGAGUGGAUUUAUUCAACAGAAGAUUCAUACUGCAGAGAAACCUCAUGGAGGUAGUAUAUCUGCGGGAAAUCGUUUGCUGGGAAAUCACAUCUUCAGUUGCAUCAUCCAAUUGAUAUAGGUGAAAAACCUAUAUGUGAGCUGAUUGUGGGAAGGCCUUCACUAACAGGGCAAAGGUCCAGAAACCUCAGGAUGCUCACCCUUGAAGUAAAGCCUAUCAAUGCAGUGACUAUGAUAAGGGCUCUACCUAGUUGUUCUAAUGUGUUCUAGAGUGCAUCAGAGAAGCCAUACCCGGGGAAAAAACCAUUUGUUUUUGAGAGUGAUUAGGCCUGCUCAAGGCAAUCAGAUCUAAUUCUAAUUUAAAAAAUCAAGGCUCCAGGCUGCAGAGAGCUUUAUGAAUAAGUUACAUGUGAGAAAGCCUUUAAGAAAAGGUUGCUCAUUCUGUUCGAGGGAGAACUCAUUCCCAGGAGAACCUCUAACGAUGCCUGGCUGAAGGAACCCUUCUUAAUUGGCACCACAAAUGGUAUCACACCUUUCUGUUGACAGUUUAAUGAAUUAGGAAUCUUCCUGUAAGAUGUACUAAAUGUGUAUUUCUUUUAAGUAUUACUGCAGUUAUUAGCAAAUUGUAGUUCAUCUACGUAGUACUUGUUCAAAGCUUUUUUCUUCUUAGUUUUCUUUGAUUUAUAUCAUUCUGAAUACCUUAGGGAUACCUGUCACUUCACUUGCUAUGUACUGCAACAGUUUUAUUACAGCUUUCAUUACAGUAUCAUUUACAAUAGGGACAAUGUUGAUUAAUCUCAGUUACAAAUAAUGGUUUGCCUCCAAGAAAGCUAAAGGUAGCUAAGGCAAAGCUAGUGAGAUUAAUAAAAUCAGUAAACCAACCAUAGUAUUUUAAACAUAAAUAUGCUAUUCUACCCAGUAGAAUCUAUAAAAUAUUUUCAGGCAAAACUUAGACAUCGUGAGUCAAAAUUUUACGGGAGUUUAGAGAAUUUUAAGAGCGUCAACCUUAAAAGCAUGUCUUUGUAACUCAGGGGAAAUAUUUCCUAAUUACAUAAGGUAAGAGGUCUUUAUGUCGUGGGUUUAUUAAAUUUGUAAGGAAGAAAAUGAUGAUGACAUGCCCACUAAACACAUUAUAUUCUUAAUACUCUUUUUUUUUUUUUUUUUAAACUCAAGUCUCACUUCCUGAGUGUUAAUUGCACUGGCUUCAAAAGCAUCUGGCAGGGCUUGCCUUGGAUGACUGAUGGAGUCCAUCUCCUGGAGCUGGGGGGCCUGGGGAACUGCCACCACUCUCCCCCCUGAAUACAGCUCAGCAGAACCAGCUGGGACACAGCUGCAUCCCAGCUGUCAGCCUUGAUUUCCUAUGGCUACACUAAAAACAAUCACCCCAGCUCGAUCACAUGACAAAUCAAUCUAAACUGCUAUGGGUAGGACUCACUAAACAUUAGAAAUUAAAAUGUGCCAAGAAUUCAGAAAGA